GGCCCUGUGGUGAAAGUUUCAUGUUGAGUUGCAAGCUCAUUGAUGUGCAUUAAGAGUGUACCGGGGUCU
rnacentral:tRNA from 1 species